rnacentral:rRNA from 1 species
CAGGGAAUCUUGCGCAAUGGGCGAAAGCCUGACGCAGCAACGCCGCGUGGGGGAUGAAGGCCUUCGGGUUGUAAACCCCUUUCAGGAGGGAAGAAAUUGACGGUACCUCCAGAAGAAGCCCCGGCCAACUACGUGCCAGCAGCCGCGGUAAUACGUAGGGGGCAAGCGUUGUCCGGAAUUAUUGGGCGUAAAGAGCUCGUAGGCGGCUCAGCAAGUCGGCUGUGAAAUCCCGAGGCUCAACCUCGGAACUGCAGUCGAUACUGCUGUGGCUAGAGUCUGGUAGAGGAGAAUGGAAUUCCCAGUGUAGCGGUGAAAUGCGCAGAUAUUGGGAGGAACACCAGUAGCGAAGGCGGUUCUCUGGGCCAGCACUGACGCUGAGGAGCGAAAGCGUGGGUAGCAAACAGGAUUAGAUACCCCCGUAGUCC